AGUUAACAUAUGUUUUUCUAAUGAAGUCUACGUAAUUGUGUCUAUUAUUCACUGUACAUAAUACUAAUGUGUUACUUGAUGGCAUAACAUUUAAGUCAAUUAGGAUCGAUAUACUUUGUAUAUCCACAAGGUGGCAGUAAUGCAAAAACAGUUGUAAUGAAACCGCGAAGAACAACAAGGUUUCACGGCUUGGGCCUGCUCAUGCGCAAGACUUCAAAUUUAACUUAAAAACGUUGUUUUGGCGCCAAGCUGCUGUUUCUUUGAGAGAUCCUGCCUUUACCUGCUCCCUCCUAUACUGAUGUGGUGUAUGUGGUACUGCUGAGCUUGUAUGUGAUCUGAACCAGUGUAAAGGUUGCAGUUCAAGGGCCUGAGGUGGAAGCAGAAUUUGUGAGGAUUACUACUGCUGCACUUGUUCCAAGGCUUUUUGCACAACUUGACCAAUACACCAAUGACCAGCUCAUAAAAGUCUUCAAGAAAAAAGGAGGCACUGCAGUGAAGAAAAUUAGACAAAUUUUGGCCCCAGCCACACAGAAGGAAACUAUUGAAAAGGGGAGGGAGUGUGUCCUCAGGGCACUACCUUUUUACCUGAAUGAAGACCCAAGCAUCCUCUUCAAAGAAUAAUUGCUACAGCUACAGCUGUUCAGAGGGAGCUGGAACAAAUUACCCUUGCUAUCUUUACCAUCGAAAGAGCUGAUGCCAGCACUCCUCCAGCCGAUGUGGGUAUAACCAUCUAGGGUGUUCUGCAUGACCUGGAAGACAUGGCCUCUGCAUGUGCACUCUUAAUGGGUGGGAUAUAUGCACUUUUUCGUGGGCUGAAUGGGAAUAAAACGGUAAUUUGACAGAUAAAGGGAAAAUUACAUUUAAGAGAAAUUUAGAAAAUUUUGAAAAGUUUGUAAACUAGUACAAUUUGAGAGAUUUUACUCUUGUGGUGGCGGGGUUAGUAAGAGACAAUCAAAAGUAUUGACAUUUAAAGGAUUUAAUUGAGAGAUGAUACUGCACCAGAAAUGUUGAAGGGUGGUGUGUAUAUUAGCGUUCAAGGCAUAUUGUUAUGAGGUGGAAAUAUGUUCAUAUUCUGUUUGUGUUACAUUGUGUGCAUUGUAAAGGUAAUUGCAAUACAUACUAAGAAUAAGGGUAAGUUAGGAAUGCAGGAUGAAUGUAUAUUUUGCGGACUUUUAAAGACGAACAAUUGUUUCCAUGUUAAAAUGUUUACAACCCAAGUUUUUUGCCCAAACACUGGCAAAAUAAACGUUGACAGUGGCAAGUGUUAAAUGGUUACUGCUGUGCUGUUGCAAAAAAAACUGAACGCUGACAAGCUGUUUUAUUGUUAGACAAUAAUGCUGGCAUGUUUUAUUAAAGUUUUGGGAUGGUGAUAUAAUUUUCUGUGAUUGCUAAUAUCAGUGGACUAUUUAUUAUUAUUAUUAUUAUUAUGAUUAUUAUUAUUAUUGUUACAACAUUAAUUUUUUUAAUUGUGGCUGUUGAGGUGGACACUUCACUUUGCAUUGUUAAAGGAAAGCACUUCAUUGGCGUUGUGUUACUGGACUGACCCUAAGCAAUCAUUGCAAAUAGCAACUUUGCUAUCCAUUAUAGACACUAAAAGAAAAAAACACUCCACAGACCUUACUAGCAUCACAUGUGCAUAACUCAAGUGUCAUCUUAUCAACAUGUUAUGUGGUCUUCAAUGUUUUUUUUCUUCUAUUUCUGGCAGAUACAGACAUUUAAUUUGAAGUCUUGAUGUUGCAUCUGUAUACAUACUGUUAGUUACUAACCCUAAUGACCUGUUGUGUUUUAUUUUGGACUGGGUUUACACAAAUGCUCACUGAAUGUGUUGGCAAUAAAAGAAAUUUAAAAAAA